CGAACGCUGGCGGCGUGCUUAACACAUGCAAGUCGAACGGAAAGGCCCUGCUUUUGUGGGGUGCUCGAGUGGCGAACGGGUGAGUAACACGUGAGUAACCUGCCCUUGACUUUGGGAUAACUUCAGGAAACUGGGGCUAAUACCGGAUAGGAGCUCCUGCUGCAUGGUGGGGGUUGGAAAGUUUCGGCGGUUGGGGAUGGACUCGCGGCUUAUCAGCUUGUUGGUGGGGUAGUGGCUUACCAAGGCUUUGACGGGUAGCCGGCCUGAGAGGGUGACCGGCCACAUUGGGACUGAGAUACGGCCCAGACUCCUACGGGAGGCAGCAGUGGGGAAUAUUGCACAAUGGGCGGAAGCCUGAUGCAGCAACGCCGCGUGCGGGAUGACGGCCUUCGGGUUGUAAACCGCUUUCGCCUGUGACGAAGCGUGAGUGACGGUAGUGGGUAAAGAAGCACCGGCUAACUACGUG
rnacentral:rRNA from 1 species